rnacentral:rRNA from 1 species
CUGACGGAGCAACGCCGCGUGAGUGAUGAAGGUUUUCGGAUCGUAAAACUCUGUUGUUAGGGAAGAACAAGUGCCAUUCGAAUAGGUUGGCACCUUGACGGUACCUAACCAGAAAGCCCCGGCUAACUACGUGCCAGCAGCCGCGGUAAUACGUAGGGGGCAAGCGUUGUCCGGAAUUAUUGGGCGUAAAGCGCGCGCAGGCGGUCCUUUAAGUCUGAUGUGAAAGCCCACGGCUUAACCGUGGAGGGCCAUUGGAAACUGGAGGACUUGAGUACAGAAGAGGAGAGUGGAAUUCCACGUGUAGCGGUGAAAUGCGUAGAGAUGUGGAGGAACACCAGUGGCGAAGGCGACUCUCUGGUCUGUAACUGACGCUGAGGUGCGAAAGCGUGGGUAGCGAACAGGAUUAGAUACCCUGGUAGUCCACGCCGUAAACGAUGAGUGCUAGGUGUUAGGGGGUUUCCGCCCCUUAGUGCUGAAGUUAACGCAUUAA